rnacentral:rRNA from 1 species
GACGAACGCUGGCGGCGUGCUUAACACAUGCAAGUCGAACGGAAAGGCCCUGCUUUUGUGGGGUGCUCGAGUGGCGAACGGGUGAGUAACACGUGAGUAACCUGCCCUUGACUUUGGGAUAACUUCAGGAAACUGGGGCUAAUACCGGAUAGGAGCUCCUGCUGCAUGGUGGGGGUUGGAAAGUUUCGGCGGUUGGGGAUGGACUCGCGGCUUAUCAGCUUGUUGGUGGGGUAGUGGCUUACCAAGGCUUUGACGGGUAGCCGGCCUGAGAGGGUGACCGGCCACAUGGGGACUGAGAGACGGCCCAGACUCCUACGGGAGGCAGCAGUGGGGAAUAUUGCGGAAUGGGCGGAAGCCUGAUGCAGCAGUGCCGCGUGCGGGAUGACGGCCUUCGGGUUGUAAACCGCUUUCGCAUGUGACGAAGCGUGAGUGACGGUAAUGGGUAAAGAAGCACCGGCUAACUACGUG